GACGAACCGUGCGAACGUUAUUCGGAAUCACUGGGCUUAAAGCGCGUGUAGGCGGAUGGGGACGUCGGUCGCUGAAAGCCCCCGGCUCAACUGGGGAGGGUCAUUCGAUACUGAUCGACUGGAAGGCAGGAGAGGGAAGCGGAAUUCCCGGUGUAGCAGUGAAAUGCGUAGAUAUCUGGAGGAACACCGGUGGCGAAGGCGGCAUCCUGGACCAAUUCUGACGCUGAGUGAGCGAAAGCCAGGGGAGCAAACGGG
rnacentral:rRNA from 1 species